rnacentral:rRNA from 1 species
CCUACGGGUGGCAGCAGUGGGGAAUAUUGCACAAUGGGCGCAAGCCUGAUGCAGCCAUGCCGCGUGUGUGAAGAAGGCCUUCGGGUUGUAAAGCACUUUCAGCGGGGAGGAAGGCGUUAAGGUUAAUAACCUUGGCGAUUGACGUUACCCGCAGAAGAAGCACCGGCUAACUCCGUGCCAGCAGCCGCGGUAAUACGGAGGGUGCAAGCGUUAAUCGGAAUUACUGGGCGUAAAGCGCACGCAGGCGGUCUGUCAAGUCGGACGUGAAAUCCCCGGGCUCAACCUGGGAACUGCAUUCGAAACUGGCAGGCUAGAGUCUUGUAGAGGGGGGUAGAAUUCCAGGUGUAGCGGUGAAAUGCGUAGAGAUCUGGAGGAAUACCGGUGGCGAAGGCGGCCCCCUGGACAAAGACUGACGCUCAGGUGCGAAAGCGUGGGGAGCAAACAGGAUUAGAUACCCCUGUAGUC